GCAUUAAUGGGGUAGUGGUAACCUGGGUCGUUGCCAUUGUAAGCUCGACCCGCCGGGGGUUCGAUUCCCUCUUAAUGCA